UGGCUCACAUUGAACGCUGGCGGCAGGCUUAACACAUGCAAGUCGAGCGGGGGCUUCGGCCCUAGCGGCGAACGGGUGAGGAAUGCCUGGGAAUCUGCCUGGUAGUGGGGGAUAACGAUCCGAAAGGAUCGCUAAUACCGCAUACGUCCUACGGGAGAAAGCAGGGGACCUUCGGGCCUUGCGCUAUCAGAUGAGCCCAGGUCGGAUUAGCUAGUUGGUGAGGUAAAGGCUCACCAAGGCGACGAUCCGUAGCUGGUCUGAGAGGACGAUCAGCCACACUGGAACUGAGACACGGUCCAGACUCCUACGGGAGGCAGCAGUGGGGAAUUUUGGACAAUGGGCGAAAGCCUGAUCCAGCCAUUCCGCGUGAGUGAAGAAGGCCUUCGGGUUGUAAAGCUCUUUCGGCAGGAACGAAACGGUCUUGGUUAAUACCCGAGGCUAAUGACGGUACCUGAAGAAGAAGCACCGGCUAACUACGUGCCAGCCGCCGCGGUAAUAC
rnacentral:rRNA from 1 species